UCUGUUACUUAGAACCUGUCAUUCUUUCUUUACUAUCAUUAUGUUUUUCCCUCUGGGCACUGUUUUUUUUUUUUUUCUUUUUUUACUUACUUAUUUCUCCAUAUAACAGUGUUUAACAUCCUUCGCCAUACAUGUAUUGGUAUUCUAUCUGUUUUUCCCCUCGAUCUUCUAUUUUCUUAAGGCUUCUAUGCUCCCUUAUUGCUGUUUAGUGGUGCUUUUCGUUUCCCAGUAGCUUCUUUUACUUAUUUAUUGGUCCUGCCCUUUUUCUUCAUGAAAACCCAGGAAUGAUUUUCCUGUUUUGACAAUUUGUUGUUUACAAAACAUAGCUAGUACUUUUUAACAUCGUAUUUUCAAAAACAAAUGGAAAAUAUGGGGAAAUGCCCAUUUCAUGUGCUAGUAGGCGUUGGGUUUUCAAAUGUCCAAUGGGUAUGCUCAGGAAAAAUGGAAGGACAAAAUGGCUGCAAUGGCUCUGUACAAAUGCUCUCUCUGAAUUUUGGUGCGAAUGUCAACAUUGUUUCCCAAGUACCUGGAGAUUGUACAAACCACCACCAUGUUUCGCCUGCCGAUAGGAAUAUAAACCAAACUAACUUCCCCCAUAUAAUUGAGUGGACUCAAACUGCAAAAACGUCUCCGACCUUUGUUGAGUUUAUUGCUGAAACUUCAAACUUUCCUAGAAAGGAAUCUACCAAAGAUAUGAUAGCAGUUGUUCCUGUCAGUUCCGUUCAAACUAUUGAUGGAGUCUCUGAGAUUCAUGGAGAAAUUUCAUACAAUCAUCCCGCAGGUUCAUACACUUCAAAACCUACUGAUUCACGCAAGGACAAUAUAUCAGGUAGUCUAUCCAAGCCACGUACCACUUCAUCAAGUAGACGAGGCUAUUCAACUGACCGUCAACGCAGGAUAAGGAUAGCUGAAAGACUCGAAGCAUUGCAGGCACUACUGCCUCUGGCUUCAAAGGGAAAUCAAGCAUCUGCUCUAGAUGAUGUCAUUGACCACAUCAAGUACUUACAGCUUCAAAUAAAGCUUGUUGGCUUCAUGGGUCUUCCUAACCACUGCUGGUGUUGUGCCGUCAAUUGAUUCCCACACUUGGGAAAAAUGCUUUCGACGGCUUUCCGUCAAUCUAUACACAGCUCAUUUCCUUCAUAGUCUUAAACACACGAGAUUUUGAGAGCGUUUUCAAUCAUUCUCUUUUAGUUAAAAUAUUUGAUAAAGAAAUUUAUUUUGGUGGGUUUUAAAUAUUUGGGUGUAUGAAGUACUUGGUGAGUUGAGUGUGCUCUUUUGUAAUCUCAUCUUUUGGAACAUUAGUGGAAACAUUCUCGUCAUCUUUGCAUGUGGAUGUAGGCAUAGUCUGAACGACAUAAGUUCUUUUAAUUUUUUUCUUCUCUCUUUUUACAUUUGUUAUUCAGAUUAUUUUCACUGUACAUUAGUCUCUGCUCAGGUUUGAAGGGAUGUUGGCGUGAGAGAGAGAGAUCCAUAUGCUGGUAAUGUAGAUAAGAAUUUGGCUCAUCGAGCCCAUACGAUGCUGAAUAUCUCAAAUUGUAUAAGCAUUGAUCCAAAAUAUUGGAGACUUGUAAAGAAAUAUAGUAAGCUGGUAGCAAAAACUUGGGCAUGUUCUUGAGCAAUAAGGGCCCAUGGUCAUAAUGAAUAAUUGUUUCAAUAAGCAGGCGACCUGCCAAUACUUCGAAAUAUCUUAACGUACAUAAUGGUGUUACGGGUGAAAUUGCUUUAAAAUGAUUUUAAGGGUGUAGAUAAAACUGAGGCAUCUAUGUUGCUGCGCAGGACUUGAGUCAGAGUAAAAUAGGCGGAGAAUCCUCUUCUGAGCCUUUCCUAUUCGUUGAGGGAUAUGGCCAUUACAUGAGCCAUCAAGAGAUGCAGGGCGAGCCACUUGAAGAGAUGGUAGGAAAAUUGCUGGAAGUUGACCCGUUAGCUGCUGCUCAGCUGCUGGAGAACAAGGGUCUAUUCGUGAUGCCCAUGGAUUUUGUUGAAGGAUUAUGCUGAACCAUUUAAUCAACCAUGGAGCUUCCUGUAUGAAACAGUUCUCUCUCGGUUAAUGCUUCUGCUUUAUUAAGUACCUACGGCUUGUCAAUCACCUCACUUGAAAGUAAAGAUACCUGGGUAACACUGAAAAAUGAUAGUUUUGUUUGUCCGUAGCAUCAUUCCAUUUUGGGGGGAAAAAAAAUCUCACA